rnacentral:rRNA from 1 species
UCUCCUGGAAACGGGUGGUAAUGCCGGAUGCUCCAUCACACUGCAUGGUGUGUUGGGAAAGCCUUUGCGGCAUGGGAUGGGGUCGCGUCCUAUCAGCUUGAUGGCGGGGUAACGGCCCACCAUGGCUUCGACGGGUAGCCGGCCUGAGAGGGCGACCGGCCACAUUGGGACUGAGAUACGGCCCAGACUCCUACGGGAGGCAGCAGUGGGGAAUAUUGCACAAUGGGCGCAAGCCUGAUGCAGCGACGCCGCGUGAGGGAUGGAGGCCUUCGGGUUGUAAACCUCUUUUGUUAGGGAGCAAGGCAUUUUGUGUUGAGUGUACCUUUCGAAUAAGCACCGGCUAACUACGUGCCAGCAGCCGCGGUAAUACGUAGGGUGCAAGCGUUAUCCGGAAUUAUUGGGCGUAAAGGGCUCGUAGGCGGUUCGUCGCGUCCGGUGUGAAAGUCCAUCGCUUAACGGUGGAUCCGCGCCGGGUACGGGCGGGCUUGAGUGCGGUAGGGGAGACUGGAAUUCCCGGUGUAACGGUGGAAUGUGUAGAUAUCGGGAAAGAACACCA